GUGACGUAGAACAGUGACGAAAUAGAAUCUCGAUUUGUGUCUGUCUGUUAACAUUUCCGGGGGGGAUUUUUACGGAAUGAGGGGGGAAGAACAAUCACAAUAAGGUAGAACCUUUCGGAACUCGUGUCAGUUUCUCUUUGAUUUUAAAUGUCUGGAAUCCGAAUAGAUAUGCGGCCUAAACAACGUUAUACAGUAGAUACCAAAAUCGAGUGAUUACCGACAUCAAUUAUACAUAUUUCGUUUGGCGAAAAACACAUGAAAUGGAUUCACCGUGCCGUAUUUAGCCAGCUCGGUUCACAUAUUUUAUCUUGCACUCUAUGAUCGUACGUCGCACAGAAUCAUCGGAAAAAAGCUUCUAUCAAAAUGUUAUAAAGGAAAUGAUGGAAACGAAACUACAGUUUUAUAAUAUAGUCCGCUCUACGUUUGUAAACAUGCGUUCGAUCGAUCGUUUGAGUAAACAAAGUAUCGUACUUUUAAUCAAAAAGCAAUUUAAAGACUCAAAAGAAUCAAAACCAUCAAGACAUUUAAAAGAAUCAAAAAAUUGUUUUCGUUCGAAAUGGUAAUGAAUUUAUCUUUAAAAUUAUUUGAAACGUGAAAUGAAAUAAGAUGUAAAGCACGGGAGUUAUUUUUCGCCGGAAAUCAACCGUCGACUUUCAGAACGCGUGCCUUUGUUUGCAUGUAUACCAAAUAAGGUAUGGCACGUUUGAAAGGCCCGUUCACUCGAUCCGAUUUGUCGGAUCCGGUUUUGUCAGAUCCUAAAAACGGAUCGUGUGAGCACAUAUAAAGUUAGUCUCCGACAGUCGGAUCCGUCAAUCUAAAAAAGAGGAUAGAAAUAGCCUGGAAUAUAAUGACUAGCCAAAUUAUAUAUGUUUGAAAAAGACUUGGAAACAAGAAGAAAAGUACGCAAAUAUAUCGA